UGGGGAUGACGUCAAAGUCAUCAUGCCCCUUAUGUCUAGGGCUACACACGUGCUACAAUGGUGAGGACAAAGAGACGCAAGACCGCGAGGUGGAGCAAAUCUCACAAACCUCAUCCCAGUUCGGAUUGCAGGCUGAAACUCGCCUGCAUGAAGCCGGAGUUGCUAGUAAUCGCGAAUCAGCAUGUCCGCGGUCCGAAUACGUUCCCGGGCCUU
rnacentral:rRNA from 1 species